rnacentral:sRNA from 1 species
AAGAUUGGGUCGAAAUCAGACCAAUGGACAAGCUCUGGCCGUGGGUGGUGGACGGGCCUGGAGUAGAGCCGGAACGAGAAGGAUGAAGAGAUGAGCACAAAGGUGUACUUAGACCUGGUAUGGAGACCCCGCGGGGUGGGAAAGGGCUUCCCGCUGCCUUGACAAUUUCCUUGAAUAUCCAGCCCAGAAAGAAUAUUUUUUACAUCAUGACUUUAGAUAACGCGUUUAUAACUGAAGCAAAAGCUCGAGGAAACAACACCUAACUUUACUACAGGAGUUGCACCCCGUGCAUUUUUAAUUCCAAUUGUGUGUGUGUGUGUGUGUGUGUGUGUGUGUGAUGCGGUCUCACAAUGUUGCACAUGCUGUUCUUGAACGCGGGGGCUCGAGACAUCCACCAGCCUCGGGGGGAACCUCCCCAAGUGCUGAGAUUACAGGCGUGAGCCACUCUAAUUUUUGAAACACUGGUUUGGGGCCGCUAAUUUCAUUCGCCAUCCACUAAAGGAUUGCAAACUGCAGUUUGAAAACCACUGUUUUAGAGGCUAGCUACUGCAGCCUCCUCACUUUUACAGAGUAAAAAAUUGAAACCCGGUGCGGGGGAAGGGAAAUUAGUUGAUGUGGAUCCCAGCGAGUGAAGGCGGAGCCAGAGCCAGAACCCCGGCCCGUUGACCCACAGUUUAUGCCUGCCCUGCUCCCCUUCCUUGCACUCCCUUCCUGGCCUUCCUUUGGAAAUCCCAAGUCCCUCCCGGCCUCCAACCCGGGGCAGCCCCUCAGCUUCUGCUUCACUAGGAGUGGACUGACUACAGGCUGAGCUGGGACCCUGCGGAGCACGACGGCAUCGAUUUGCUCCGCAUCACGGCGGAAUCCGUGUGGCUGCCUGACGUGGUGCUACUGAACAACAAUGAUGGGAAUUUUGACGUGGCUCUGGACAUUAACGUCGUGGUGUCCUCCGACGGCUCCGUGCGUUGGCAACCGCCGGGCAUCUAUCGCAGCAGCUGCAGCAUCCAGGUUUCUGGGCUCCACAUUGGAAGCUGAAGGAGCUCUUACAAACCCUCCCUUUCCUUAGACAUCCUGACUCCCCAGAGACUCCCAUCCUUCAUCCUUCCCCCAUUAUCUAAUCUCCAUGACCCUCCCCUCGUCUACCCUCCUGAUUUUCCAUUGAGUGUUCUGAUCACUUUCUUUGACUUCUAGUCUUACUCAGUGACCGCCCUCCCCACCCCUCCCCCAUUAAUGGCUUCCCUUCAUAACCCUCCAAUUCCUCCGUGAUUCCCCUUCCCUGUGCCCUCCCCAAAGGCCUCCCAAACUCCACCAGCGCUGACUGGUUCUCUGGCAGCUCUAGUGACUCUCCCCUCCAUCCAGGUCACCUACUUCCCCUUCGACUGGCAGAACUGCACUAUGGUGUUCAGUUCCUACAGCUACGACAGCUCGGAGGUCAGCCUGCAGACAGGCCUGGGUCCUGACGGGCAAGAGCAGCAGGAAAUCCACAUUCAUCAAGGGACUUUCAUUGAGAAUGGCCAAUGGGAGAUUAUCCACAAGCCCUCUCGGCUAAUCCAGCCUCCAGGCGAUCCUAGGGGAGGGAAGGAAGGACAGCGCCAGGAAGUCAUCUUCUACCUUAUCAUCCGCCGCAAGCCUCUCUUCUACCUGGUCAACGUCAUUGCCCCAUGCAUCCUCAUCACUCUUCUGGCCAUCUUCGUCUUCUACCUGCCACCAGACGCAGGAGAGAAGAUGGGGCUCUCAAUCUUUGCCCUGCUGACCCUUACUGUGUUCCUGCUGCUGCUGGCUGACAAAGUACCUGAGACCUCCCUAUCAGUACCCAUUAUUAUCAAGUACCUCAUGUUUACCAUGGUCCUCGUCACCUUCUCAGUCAUCCUUAGUGUUGUGGUUCUCAACCUGCACCACCGCUCACCCCACACCCACCAAAUGCCCCUUUGGGUCCGUCAGAUCUUCAUUCACAAACUUCCGCUGUACCUGCGUCUAAAAAGGCCCAAACCCGAGAGAGACCUGAUGCCGGAGCCCCCUCACUGUUCUUCUCCAGGAAGUGGCUGGGGUCGGGGAACAGAUGAAUAUUUCAUCCGGAAGCCGCCAAGUGAUUUUCUCUUCCCCAAACCCAACAGGUAGGACUACGCCCGUUACCCACAUAAAAGGGAGAGGGAGAACUACAGUUCCCAGAAGAGUGUGCGGAAGAAGCGGCCCAUGCUCCCGGAAGAUGCUGUGGUUGAGCAUCAUGGGAGUUGUAGUACCCCUGCUGCUCACUUUGAGGGGAGGUGGGAACUAAAACAGAGGCGGUGGAAGAAGUUGCACAAGGCUAGAGAGAUCACUGCUGGCGGGGAGAGCAUGAAGGGCUCUC